CCAGCGGUCCGGCCGGGAACUCAAAGGAGACUGCCAGUGAUAAACUGGAGGAAGGUGGGGAUGACGUCAAGUCAUCAUGGCCCUUACGACCAGGGCUACACACGUGCUACAAUGGCGCAUACAAAGAGAAGCGACCUCGCGAGAGCAAGCGGACCUCAUAAAGUGCGUCGUAGUCCGGAUUGGAGUCUGCAACUCGACUCCAUGAAGUCGGAAUCGCUAGUAAUCGUGGAUCAGAAUGCCACGGUGAAUACGUUCCCGGGCCUUGUACACACCGCCCGUCACACCAUGGGAGUGGGUUGCAAAAGAAGUAGGUAGCUUAACCUUCGGGAGGGCGCUUACCACUUUGUGAUUCAUGACUGGGGUGAAGUCGUAACAAGGUAACCGUAGGGGAACCUGCGGUUGGAUCAC
rnacentral:rRNA from 1 species